rnacentral:lncRNA from 1 species
GCGAUGUACCAAAUGCAACCUUAAAGAUAUUUAAGUGGUUAGAAGAAAAAAAAAGCACUAAUCUAAUUUUUAACAAAUAAAAUAUAUAUUAGUCCUAAAAUUGUCAUCCAAAAUUUAGCGUACUACAUGCAGCGAGAUCAAUUUAAUUGCGGUAGAUGAAAAGACCUUAUUGGAUCAGAAUGCAAGAGAUCCAACUAAAAUCUCGAAAAACCUAAUAUUGGGAUAGGUUUCCGUCACUUAAUCGACUACUCUGGCUU